AGGAUUGCCUGGUGAUCCCCGUGAACAAUAUUCAAUCACAGCUUCACGGCAGAUUUCAGGAUCAAUGAUUGGUUCUUGAGAAGUAUAUGGCAGCUCAGACACCUGACUGCGUGUCUUUGUUUUUGCCAGGCAAGUAGACAAGUUGAGGUCAUCAGAUGAACCAUCAUAUGAUGUUUUUUGGUCUUCUGCCCAAGUUUCUGACUUUUCCAACAUCUUACAAACUUGACGAAGUGAUUGGAAUAUUUUUCCAUCAGGAGCAAUGUACCGUGUCCUAGUGAUGCUGCGAUCCUUUGGUUGCUCAAUUUUCCAUCCUAAGUGAAACAAAUGUUUCUUAAGUUUUUGCAAGGAUUCUGGGGACCUGUGGUUCGACAUAUAAUUAUCAUUGUACUCAGAAACUGCAUCAGGACAAAGCUCAGCUACAUGGGCGAUGGUCAUCCACUCAACUCGCUUCCUCUUUCUAGAAUGUAUUUUAUUGGAAGACUCAAAGUUCAGUCUCUCACUCUUAGUAAUUGACGAAGUACCAGAAAUUUCAUUUUUAGGGGGGUGUAAAACUGGCAAAGCAUUAGGUGAUACAGCUUGUAGUUCUUCUUGGCUUGGUAGAACUGAGCUAAAUAAAGCACUAGCACUCAAUGGAACAUUGUCUGAGAUUGGUCCAAAACCCUCCGAAACAAGUUUUUUAUCUAUACAUGAUACCUCCCGAUCCAUACACAUCAUCUCCCCGCUAAUUGAUUUGCAUAUGGCUUCAAUAAAAGGUAAAAUGGCUGAGUUAUGAAAAUAUGUUUCAGUGGGUUGUGA
rnacentral:misc_RNA from 1 species